CGGCGGGGCUGCUGGGCUGCCAGCAGCGAGGCGGGGCGGGGCGGACGGAGCUUCCCCAGAACGACGCGGGGACCGCCGGCCGUCGCCGCAAGGGGUAAUGCUUGUGAGGAGCAGUGAUAUGAAGAAACCUUCAUGAAGGUCAUGUAAACGAAAACUUGGCUAGUGAGGAAUCUCCUUCCAGAAUAGACUGCAGCCACGACGUUCCAUUGAAAUAGUUGCACAAGGUGAUGGCCGUUCCGCGGCGGCCGGCAGCGCUCCGCAGAGGCGCGGCGCGGCGGCG